CACAGGGUAUCCCAAACGAUCUGUUCCUGCAAUCCCCUGGGCUGGCCUACUGUCCAAGUCUCAUUCAGUCUCAAGUCCAGCCCUCUGAAGUCUCAGGUUCCCGGUUCAACAGGGCACCCGGACAAGCGUGCCCUGUGGGGAUUGCUGGGUAGGGCCGGCCGCCGCCGCCCUGGCUGCUAGCUUCGCCAGGCAGACCUACUGCCUGGCGUCCCAUGUCUUUUUUAUACUUGGGAGUUUCCCCGUCCUGUGGGCAACAAAGAUCAGUCUGGAAAUGCAGCUCUGACUCACCGUUUGCGGAUUCAACGCGAGAUCCAAUCCUGGGUUGUUCUCACAGCGCCAUCUUGAGUCUUCCCCGGACUUCUAAUUUUCUAGUUUUUCUCCACCUGCCCUUACUCAUACAAAGAUAUGCAGCAGAACAACUCCUGGAGUAAUCACUUGCUGGGAUUAGAUGAACUUGAGUGAAGAAGAGUGGUGGCCUCUGCAAAGAUUCCAGCAAAGAGAUAAAGGAAGGCUUGGUGAAGGAUAUGGUGCUACAGGGAUGUGGGAUGAGGAAAAUGAAAAGUCCCUAGUACUUACCUAUUUUGUUGAAUUGCCUAAAUUGCUUUUAAGAAGUCUGUCAUUCCCAAUGCUUUGCUGAUCCAUGUUUCCACUCUAUUGCCACAGUAGCCUUUCUUUAAAGUGUGAUGAUGACUAUGUACCUCAUUUAGUUUCUCAGCAUAGCAUUAAGGGCCCUUUAUGACUAGGGCAACUGUAUAUCUUAUUUUCUUCAGGAAAGUACCAAUUUAAACAUGCUGUUUCAGUGUAAUUAUUUACAAGGCACCCUUUGACUCACAAAAUGUUCCAGUUUCAAAAAAUUGUAUUGUCACCAUAUUUACGAUCUACUUGUUACCUACCUUGUCAAUCUUAUCUCCUGUUACCCUCUCACCUCCAUCCAAUAACAAUCCACACAAAAAUUCCAAAUAAUGCAUGCCUAUUAUCUCCUCCAGCCCUUUGUCAAAGCUACUUCUUUUAGUAGCAUGUCUUUCCUACUUUCGCUCACAUGGUAAAAUCCUACUCUUUCAUUAUGGCCCAAAUCCAAGGCCACUGCUUCUGUUGUUUUCAAUAACUCCCUCUCUACCCUUCCAAAUUUGUACAGACUCUGUGUGUGCCAUUGGUACAAAAUUUACCUCGAGGCUCUAAUGCACUGGUACGAUUUGAUCAAUGUAUUCAAUGUAAUUUUUGCUAAGACAGAGUAUACAUAAUGUUAAACAAUGUCUACUGAGUGAACAUUGAGCUGAGAGAGUCCUUCGUUAUAGUGCAGAGCUGGGUACAAGAUACUCUUUGGAAGAGUUAAUUAGAGUUUAGUGUUAAGCAGGUGACAGGGAACAUGCUCAGGUUAAGUGUGACAUGUGAGAACUCUCCCUGGUGAGUAUAUAGCAGUACUUGUUUAGAUGGGCAGUACGCAGUCCAAGUCCAACAGAAGCCUGUGCUAAAACAGUAAAUCCUUUUAUAGACAUGCGAGACAUUGCUAUGCUGUGGUGUGAUUACAUUGCAAUUGUUGCUAACCUGUUUAGUGUUCUUUAGAGUCUUUUAAUCACUUCAAGUGUGCUGUCAAAAGUUCCAGUAUUCCCAACUAUGCUGACCAAAAAGAAAAAAAAAAGACGAAGAGCUACUGAUACAUUAAGUAAGAGCAGAGGCUUAUAAAGGGCAUUUAGAGUAAGAGCUCAAUAAAUAUUAGCUCCCCCUGCCUGGAAAAUAGUUAGGUACUUUAGUAAGCCAUGGAGAGAUACAAUGGGAAAUAAUCAACUGGUGUAACUUUUUGUCUGUGGGGAAAGUGUGCAGAAAUAAGGUGAAGAAAUUUGGAAUAAGAGUCUACCCUAAACAGCUUUCCAAGCAAAGCAGACUGAGUCACUGGCCCCAGUUCUCACAAUUUGUUUCAAGCAAAUUUGGGCAGUGAGAGACUGACAUAGUGGUCACAUCUCUCGUUAGUGUACUUCCUUGGGAGUAGUUUUCAAACUUAAAUGUCUUUCCAUAAUCUUUCUCUCUGUGUGUCUAUCUUCGUGUCUCUUUAAAGGAUUCCAUGUAUUACCUGACAAGCACUCUUUCUGUAACAAUUUUCCCAGUCAAGGCUUCUAUAGCCUCUGAUGCACAAUGGGUUAGAAAAUAAUUUUCUAUACCCUCCCUUCACUGUAUUCCUAAAGCAAAUAUACAACAUUUUGAAUGUUUUAUUACAAUGCUAUUGCUAUUAAUGAAGAAAAAAUGAUAACCUUUUUACCAUACUCUGUGAAGAAAUAAAAAAACUAUUCCUCCAUAAAGACUAAUGGAUUUGGGUACACAAAUGAGAGAAAUAAAUUUUGCUCCCUUUUGAGAAGAAAAUCAUUCUGAAAAUAUCUGAGCAUUUCUUCUCUGCUAGGGCUAGGGGUCAGUGGAGGGAGGUAAAGUUGGGAACAUAACAGCUGUACAAGGAGUAGAAGAACGUUACUGAAAAAUUAGCUUUAGAAUAAUUUCUUCUUCUAUUUUUUUUGCUCUUGCCCAGAGAAACAUUAAUCUUGCCAAAUUGUGAUUCAGUUUCCUCAUGAUAAGAGUAACUAUAUUGUCAACUUCGUAGGGUUGUUAUGAAAAUUAUACAUGAUAAUAAAUGCAAAACACUAUAAACAAUUCAUUGCACAUGUAAGAACUCAAUAAUGUUAGUUUUUAUUACUAUCAUUACUUUAAUUUAUUAAAUUAUCCUUACCCUAGAUGGAUACUAAGACAGAAUAAAAAUCUGAAUUGUGUGAUGUGUAUGAGAUGGGACAGAAAGAAGACAACCCUGUACUGAGACAAGAGAUUGCAAAUAAAUGGAGAAAAUGAAAAAAAUACAAAAACACUCUCCCAGGAGAAAAGGGAAGAUCCCAUGUCCAUUAGUAUAGGAGUAUACAUGUUCUGUGUUUGAUUUUAGCUUGGGGUCAAAAGUACAUUGGCUGUAAUAAGGUGACAGGGCAAAAGAAGGGAUUGAGGCAGGGUGGAAGUGUAAUCAGAAAAAGGAGGAAAGCAAGAGGGUACAGAAUAAAGGUCACAGCACAUGAAGGAUAUUGCUGGAAGAGAGCAUAGAUAAUUCAGCCACUUCCAAGCCAAGGACCUAAGAUUGAAGAGGAGAAGGUAUACGAACAAACUAUUCUUUUCUGACAAAAUAUGGUAGCAGAGCAGUAACAUCAGUGAAAAGCAGAAACGGUGACCUUCCAGCCAUUCCAGGAGAUACAUUGUAAAAUUGAGAGAGAUCAUGAGUGGAUAGGUAUUCAGAGUUUAGUUCAUGUGAAAUGAGUUGAACUAAAACAGGAAAGAAGCAUAACCCCAGUCAAAAAGAGUGAAGACAUCCAUAUUCUUUAGGAACCAAUGUGAUGUGUGCUCAUAAAGGGAUGGAAUCACGUAAUUAGCUUAGGCUCCUAGGGAAAGUUUUGUAAAACAAACUGUUGCCUCUCAAUCAGACAGUAACAGGAACAUCUUAUGAUUAAUUACCUGGGCCUUUAUCUCUUAAGAAAAUGAGCAGCAUCUCCUCCACAUAACUGUAUGUCAGUUUGACUCACUUGAUUGAGGCUAAGAUAUUGAAGCCCCUCCAUAUACUGAAACAUUUAUGUUCAUGUGGAAAUACUAAAGUUCCUGUCUCAGUAUAAAUGCUGAAUAAACAUUGACUGUACUUAAUCCAGAGUACAUAUGUAUCCUAACCAUAUUUAAUCCCAAUAUAGAACAGUGACUGAUGGGGGAAUUUCUAGUACAUUGGCAGGAGUAAAGACGGAAAUAUUUUGGAACCAAGAAGACUUUUGCAUCUUUUUAAAUCCCAUUGAAACCUGUGUGUACCUAGGACCCAAUCUUAACACAGGCCAUUUUUUAAAAGGUUCUUGGAGUUUCCAAGGAUGCCACCAAAAGUAAUACAGGUACUGUGGUCUACAUUCCCAGGGAAAAGUAAGUUAACUCUCUUCCAUUUGUUGAGAAAAUAGUUUGAAAUUGUGAGGUCAUGAAAGAGUCACCAAAAUUCUCUCAUGCAAUCGCAUAAACUAUUAAACUUUUGUAAUUUGGAAGAUAGAAGAUAUAUUAAAAUUCUUAUUUGCUUAAAAUAGGCUAAAGGAAGCAGGAAAACUUUAAAUGCUUAUAUAAACAUAAAAUAUAUAUCCAAUUUGGCUAACAAUAUCUUGGAAGAACUUUGAAUUUGGGUGAAGUUUAAAAAAUGAAGUUCAUGGUUACCUGAGAAUAAGGGAUGGCUUUAUUUUAUCCAUCAUUGUAAUGCAGCUAUCAAUAUCUCUUCAAGUAACCUCAAGUUCUCUGAACUCGUCUGGAUUUAACUCAGGUUUCUAAUGCCAUUUUAACAUUUUACACAGUGGUUUAAUAAUACAGAGUCCUCAGCUCAAAAAAAUUAGGAACAGAUGGUGAGAAUGGACUCAUUCCCAUUUCUGAUGUGCACUUUAUUAUACUACUUUCAAAGAGUGACCUAAAGCACAUUCGAAAAAUGUACAGUAGGUGUGUGAAUUGCAUCUCUUGAGAAAUGACUAUUUUGGGCAGUAUUCCUUUAACUAUUGCUAUUCCUAGCUCUGUUUCAGUAUGUAUGAGACAACUUUAGGUGGAAAACAAAACAAAUUAAUAUCUGGGGAUGAAAAUGCCAAUAACAAAAAUAUUUUAUGAUCUAUGAAUGAUUUUUAAUAUCAAAUCUAUUUUUUUGAAAUAAAAGUCUCUUCCCUCAUGUUAAAACGUGCUUUUAUGUCACUCAAUAUCAACCACAAUAAGAUACUUUCUAAAGUUCCCUAUUCCAAAAAUUUUGAGCUGGUAAAAUAAAAAUAAUACCGGUUGAGUAUCUCCAAUUCGACAAUUUUAAAUUCAGAAUGCUACAAAAUCUAAAGCCUUAUGACCAGCAAUAGGAUGCCACAAAUAAAAAUGUUCACACUCUACCUCAUAACAGGUACACAAAAUUAUUUAAAAUGUAUAAAAUUACAU
rnacentral:lncRNA from 1 species